GGAGGAAAUCCCAGCUUCUGAUUUCACAAUUGUGGAAGAGAACCAUUGCACUAAGGCAGGUGGCUAGAGUUUUGUGGAAUUUAGAGCUAUUGAUGGGUUUUAUUGAAAUAAUUUUACCCACCAACAGCAGGACCAAAAUAAUUAUAGGAUGGGGGCAGAAUGGCAAGGGGAUACAUACAAUAUUAUGUGAUUGAGACUGUCAUGAAAGGUGGGGGUCCAGUUAUAAUGCUAGUUUGUCUGCUUUGUGCAAAAAGCCCUAUGAACCACUAUUUCCUCUAUACUGGGAUCUAAUAUUUGUUUUGUUUUUUUCCCCUAGUUCCACCAGCAGGGAGGUAUAAACUCUCAACAGACCUCACACUUCUUUCCAUAGAGAAUAUGUCUACUUCACAAAAGAUGAAAAUGGAGAAAGAAAAAGGGAGGACAAGACAGCAGUACAUUCUGUCUCCUUUCAUUCUAGUUUAUAGCAACUGGUGUGGUUUUCAUGGGCCUUUUCGGGAGUUUUACAUUCACAAGUGACAAUCUCUAUCACACCAUUUGAAUAGUUUAUGGAAGAGAUAAAAAUAAGGCUAUCCAAGACAAUUGCCAAUCCUUCAGGUCUGGCCUGGAGUUCAGGAACUGACCUCAUUAUCUUAAGACCUUGAGAGCAGUAAAGGAGAUGUGACAAGAUGCCAUCGUGGUCUCACACAAGUCAAUCAUCUGAAGAGGAUUGAGUAAGAAGGUACAGGACUUAUGGGUCUCGCUCUCUCUUUAUUAAUAAUGAAGAGCAGACAAAGCAUGGAAACGAAUCUAUAGUAAAUAUUGCAAAAUGGAAUUAAAAGAUUGGUAAAUGUGCAGGGACAACCAGAAGAAAUAGAGAAGAGGAAGUGAGUGUCCUACUGAGACAGAAGGCUUCUCAGUAUUGUAUUGGUCAAUCAUACAUUUUUCUUUCUUAUUCAUACUAUGAUAGACUGUGCUGGUAGUAGUGAUGCUAGAAAAUGUUUGUAUAGUUAUGAUGACAAAUGGUACUUGGAACCAUAAGCUGUGUUGCAAGUAGACAUGUGAACAUAAACUCAUCAUUUCAUGGGAUUGGAUGAAAUUGCAUCAGCCAGAAGAGAUACAACUUUCUAACCAAAGCAAAGCAACCUUUUUAGUCAAUCAACAGCAGGGACUGUUGCCCAAAUUGUAGGGCUGGAGCAGAGGACCUAAGCAGAGACUCACUCUUGCCCUUGGCAAGUACUGCAAGAGAUAGGGUUGCCUAUUGAAUUAAAGGCUAGUACUCUGGAAUGUCA